GGGAAAGCUCAACUUUGAAAUCUGGCACCUUCGGUGUCCGAAUUGUAGUCUCAAGAAGUGUUUUCUGUGCCGGUCCAUGUAUGAGUCUGUUGGAACACAGCGUCAUAGAGGGUGACAACCCCGUUCAUGACAUGGAUACCGGUGCUCUGUGAUACACUCUCGAAGAGUCGAGUUGUUUGGGAAUGCAGCUCAAAUUGGGUGGUAAAUUCCAUCUAAAGCUAAAUAUUGGCGAGAGACCGAUAGCAAACAAGUACCGUGAGGGAAAGAUGAAAAGCACUUUGGAAAGAGAGUUAACAGUACGUGAAAUUGUUGAAAGGGAAACGAUUGAAGUCAGACGUGCGUGAUGCGGUUCAGCUCUGGUUCGCCAGAGUGUAUUCCGUAUCUUUGCAGGCCAACAUCAGUUUCGAUAGUCGGAUAAAGAUUAGUUGAAUGUGGCACCUUCGGGUGUGUUAUAGCUUCUAAUUGAAUACGAUUGUUGGGACUGAGGAACGCAGCGCGCCGCAAGGCAAAGGUUCCGACCUUUUCGCGCUUAGGAUGUUGGUGAAAUGGCUUUAAACGACCC
rnacentral:rRNA from 1 species